GAUGAACGCUGGCGGCGUGCCUAAUACAUGCAAGUCGAGCGAAUGGAUUAAGAGCUUGCUCUUAUGAAGUUAGCGGCGGACGGGUGAGUAACACGUGGGUAACCUGCCCAUAAGACUGGGAUAACUCCGGGAAACCGGGGCUAAUACCGGAUAACAUUUUGAACCGCAUGGUUCGAAAUUGAAAGGCGGCUUCGGCUGUCACUUAUGGAUGGACCCGCGUCGCAUUAGCUAGUUGGUGAGGUAACGGCUCACCAAGGCAACGAUGCGUAGCCGACCUGGGAGGGUGAUCGGCCACACUGUGCCGGGGACACGGCCCAGACUCCUACGGGAGGCAGCAGUAGGGAAUCUUCCGAAAUGGACGAAAGUCUGACGGAGCAACGCCGCGUGAGUGAUGAAGGCUUUCGGGUCGUAAAACUCUGUUGUUAGGGAAGAACAAGUGCUAGUUGAAUAAGCUGGCACCUUGACGGUACCUGACCAGAAGGCCACGGCUAACUACGUGCCAGCAGCCGCCGUAA
rnacentral:rRNA from 1 species